CUUACUAUUCUGUUGUUGCAAUUUGUAGUCCCUCAACUCCAAGUAUGGAUGCAGGGUUCCGCUGCUUCUUUUCAACAAAGAUAACGUUCAUGAUAGUUCUCUAAAGGUUUUGGAAAAGUAUUCAAAAUCAAGCAUUGAAGUGCACACUUUUAAACAGGGUGAAGGUCCAGAAUUGAAAUUAUCGGGUGGACAAAACAGCAAGGGAGAAGUGCAUCCAUUUGAUGAUGUGUUCCGUUCACUAAUGGCUGGUGGAACCCUUGAUUCAUUAUUGGCCCAGGGUAAGGAGUAUAUCCUAGUGUUGAAGUCGGACAAUGUGGCAACAAUCAUAGAUCCAAACAUACUAAAUCAUUUGAUGAUAAAUGAUAUUGAAUAUUGCAUGGAGGUACGCAGAAAAUUUUUAUCUACCAAAUAAAAUGCUGCCACUUCUCUUUUUAAGGUAUAUACGAGUUCUCUGUUUCAUUUUCUU